GCACCUUAUCCAGUGCCACUUCAGACUAGGCCCUCCAACGUGUUGGUUAAUUGAAUUAUAGUUUCGGAUAAGAUGUGGUCCCUGCCUUUAAAAAGCUUUUAAUUUAAUUAUGGAAGCAGCUACAAACAUCAAUCCAUUAUUCCAAGACAACACAUUUAUCCAUUCAUUCAGCAAGUUUUUAUUUUAGAGAAGAGAGAAAGCAUGUCCAUGCAUACCUGAAUCAUGGGGCAGAAAGUGAAAUGUGGUGCAGAGGAAAUUCAGGCGAGGAGCCACAAAAACUGAGAGCAAAGUGACUUUGCUAAGAGGCUCUGGGAAAAAUCUCAAAGGGGAGGAGCAAAUGCCCAGACCUAGGAGACUGGGCAGAAUUUGGACACAAGGAAGUCAUUGUGGGCUGACAGUACAGGGUCCAACAGAGGCAAAGAGCUGGAAAUGCAGGGAAAGAAAGGGGAACAUCCUCCUCUUCCAGCGGAGGAAGCUGGGUGAAGAAAGGAGAAGCAUUGCGCUGGUGUGGGAAGCACGGGGCCGCUAAGGUUGAAGGCUUCUCAGCCUGGGCUGGAUCCUGGACAGACAGGCCCAGGCAGGCUGUGCACUGUGACCUGGGGCCUUGCUGUGAACAAAGAGGACUUCAAGAGGAGAUGGCCUGGAGGAGUUCGCCUUUGUGGUCAUUUUGCUUCAGUCCGUGACAACCUGGCUUCCAUCAAACCAAUCAGCCCAUCACCCAAUACUAGCUGUUCCAAAUAUAAAUUGUUGUCUUUGUCACUUUGCGUAGUCACUCUCCUCUUGAAAUAUACACAU
rnacentral:lncRNA from 1 species